GGCUGUAGUUCAAUGGUAGAGCAUCUGCUUUGUAUGCAGAAGGUCACAGGUUCAAUCCCCACAAUCUCCU